rnacentral:rRNA from 1 species
UGGGGAAUUUUGGACAAUGGGCGAAAGCCUGAUCCAGCAAUGCCGCGUGUGUGAAGAAGGCCUUCGGGUUGUAAAGCACUUUUGUCCGGAAAGAAAUCCUUGGCUCUAAUACAGUCGGGGGAUGACGGUACCGGAAGAAUAAGCACCGGCUAACUACGUGCCAGCAGCCGCGGUAAUACGUAGGGUGCAAGCGUUAAUCGGAAUUACUGGGCGUAAAGCGUGCGCAGGCAGUUUGCUAAGACCGAUGUGAAAUCCCCGGGCUCAACCUGGGAACUGCAUUGGUGACUGGCAGGCUAGAGUAUGGCAGAGGGGGGUAGAAUUCCACGUGUAGCAGUGAAAUGCGUAGAGAUGUGGAGGAAUACCGAUGGCGAAGGCAGCCCCCUGGGCCAAUACUGACGCUCAUGCACGAAAGCGUGGGGAGCAAACAGGAUUAGAUACCCUGGUAGUCCACGCCCUAAACGAUGUCAACUAGUUGUUGGGGAUUCAUUUCCUUAGUAACGUAGCUAACGCGUGAAGUUGACCGCCUGGGGGAGUACGGUCGCAAGAUUAAAACUCAAAUGAAUUGACGGGGUCAUAGCUGUUUCCU